AACGAACGCUGGCGGCAUGCCUAACACAUGCAAGUCGAACGAGACCUUCGGGUCUAGUGGCGCACGGGUGCGUAACGCGUGGGAACCUGCCCUUAGGUUCGGAAUAACUCCCCGACAGGGGUGCUAAUACCGGACAAUGUCUUCGGCCCAAUGACUUAUCGCCUUUGGAUGGGCCCGCGUUGGAUUAGCUCGUUGGUAAGGUAAAAGCCUACAAAGGCAACGAUGCAUAGCUGAUCUGAGAGGGUGAUCGGCAACACGGGAACUGAGACACGGCCCAGACUAAUAAGGGAGGCAGCAGUAGGGAAUCUAACGCAAUGGGAGAAAGCCUGACGGAGCAAUGCAGAGUGAGGGAAGAAGGUCUUCGUAUCGUAAAAAUCUGUUAUUAGGGAAGAACAAAUGUGGAAGUAACUAUGCACGUAUGGACGGUACCUAAUCAGAAAGCAACGGAUAACUACGUG
rnacentral:rRNA from 1 species